UGGGGAAUUUUGGACAAUGGGCGCAAGCCUGAUCCAGCCAUGCCGCGUGCAGGAUGAAGGCCCUCGGGUUGUAAACUGCUUUUGUACGGAACGAAAAGCCUCUUUCUAAUAAAGAGGGGUGAUGACGGUACCGUAAGAAUAAGCACCGGCUAACUACGUGCCAGCAGCCGCGGUAAUACGUAGGGUGCGAGCGUUAAUCGGAAUUACUGGGCGUAAAGCGUGCGCAGGCGGUCUUGCAAGACAGUGGUGAAAUCCCCGGGCUCAACCUGGGAACUGCCAUUGUGACUGCAAGGCUGGAGUACGGCAGAGGGGGAUGGAAUUCCGCGUGUAACAGUGAAAUGCGUAGAUAUGCGGAGGAACACCGAUGGCGAAGGCAGUCCCCUGGGCCUGUACUGACGCUCAUGCACGAAAGCGUGGGGAGCAAACA
rnacentral:rRNA from 1 species